rnacentral:rRNA from 1 species
UACGUAGGGUGCAAGCGUUGUCCGGAAUUAUUGGGCGUAAAGAGCUCGUAGGCGGUCUGUUGCGUCGGCUGUGAAAACCCGGGGCUCAACUCCGGGCCUGCAGCCGAUACGGGCAGACUAGAGUUCGGCAGGGGAGACUGGAAUUCCUGGUGUAGCGGUGAAAUGCGCAGAUAUCAGGAGGAACACCGAUUGCGAAGGCAGCUCACUAAGCAGACAUUGACGCUGAGGCACGAAAGCGUGGGGAUCAAACAGG